rnacentral:rRNA from 1 species
UACAGAGGGGGCUAGCGUUGUUCGGAAUUACUGGGCGUAAAGGGCGCGUAGGUGGCCUGUUAAGUCGAACGUGAAAUCCCCGGGCUCAACCCGGGAACUGCGUCCGAGACUGGCAGGCUCGAAUCCGGGAGAGGGAUGUGGAAUUCCAGGUGUAGCGGUGAAAUGCGUAGAUAUCUGGAGGAACACCGGUGGCGAAGGCGGCGUUCUGGACUGUUACUGACACUGAGGAACGAAAGCCAGGGGAGCAAACGGG